CGGCACGGGUGAGUAACACGUAUCCAACCUGCCGUCUACUCUUGGCCUGCCUUCUGAAAGGAAGAUUAAUCCAGGAUGGCAUCAUGAGUUCACAUGUCCGCAUGAUUAAAGGUAUUUUCCGGUAGACGAUGGGGAUGCGUUCCAUUAGAUAGUAGGCGGGGUAACGGCCCACCUAGUCAACGAUGGACAGGGGUUCUGAGAGGAAGGUCCCCCACAUUGGAACUGAGACACGGUCCAA
rnacentral:rRNA from 1 species